GACCUCUUAGCUCAGUGGUAGAGCGUGAGAUUCCAGCUCCUCCUCAAGGUCGUCCGUUCAAUCCGGGCAGGGGUCA
rnacentral:tRNA from 1 species